GAUGAACGCUAGCUACAGGCUUAACACAUGCAAGUCGAGGGGAAACGACAUCGAAAGCUUGCUUUUGAUGGGCGUCGACCGGCGCACGGGUGAGUAACGCGUAUCCAACCUGCCCAUCACUUGGGGAUAACCUUGCGAAAGUAAGACUAAUACCCAAUGAUAUCUCUAGAAGACAUCUGAAAGAGAUUAAAGAUUUAUCGGUGAUGGAUGGGGAUGCGUCUGAUUAGCUUGUUGGCGGGGUAACGGCCCACCAAGGCAACGAUCAGUAGGGGUUCUGAGAGGAAGGUCCCCCACAUUGGAACUGAGACACGGUCCAAACUCCUACGGGAGGCAGCAGUGAGGAAUAUUGGUCAAUGGGCGAGAGCCUGAACCAGCCAAGUAGCGUGCAGGAAGACGGCCCUAUGGGUUGUAAACUGCUUUUAUAAGGGAAUAAAGUGAGAGUCGUGACUCUUUUUGUAUGUACCUGAUGAAUAAGGACCGGCUAAUUCCGUG
rnacentral:rRNA from 1 species